rnacentral:rRNA from 1 species
UACGUAGGGCGCAAGCGUUGUCCGGAAUUAUUGGGCGUAAAGAGCUCGUAGGCGGCUUGUCACGUCGAUUUGUGAAAGCCCGAGGCUUUAACCUCGGGUCUGCAGUCGAUACGGGCUAGCUAGAGUGUGGUAGGGGAGAUCGGAAUUCCUGGUGUAGCGGUGAAAUGCGCAGAUAUCAGGAGGAACACCGGUGGCGAAGGCGGAUCUCUGGGCCAUUACUGACGCUGGAGGAGCGAAAGCGUGGGGAGCGAACAGG